AUAAAUAAAUUAUAAAAAAAAAAAAAUUGGAGGGAUACCGAGAAGAGGUAAGCAUGGGCCCUGUACAAGAAGGACACUCAAAUUCAUGAAGUGUUUCAGAUUUUU